rnacentral:rRNA from 1 species
GUAUAGAAUAAAAUUAAUGCACCAGAUCUCAUUAGAACUCCACAAUUAAGAACACUUGGGAUAGAGUAGUACUGUGAUGGCUGACCCCCUAGUAACUCCUAGUGUUUUAUAUG